rnacentral:rRNA from 1 species
GACGAACGCUGGCGGCGUGCCUAAUACAUGCAAGUAGAACGCUGAAGGAGGAGCUUGCUUCUCUGGAUGAGUUGCGAACGGGUGAGUAACGCGUAGGUAACCUGCCUGGUAGCGGGGGAUAACUAUUGGAAACGAUAGCUAAUACCGCAUAAGAGUAGAUGUUGCAUGACAUUUGCUUAAAAGGUGCAAUUGCAUCACUACCAGAUGGACCUGCGUUGUAUUAGCUAGUUGGUGGGGUAACGGCUCACCAAGGCGACGAUACAUAGCCGACCUGAGAGGGUGAUCGGCCACACUGGGACUGAGACACGGCCCAGACUCCUACGGGAGGCAGCAGUAGGGAAUCUUCGGCAAUGGACGGAAGUCUGACCGAGCAACGCCGCGUGAGUGAAGAAGGUUUUCGGAUCGUAAAGCUCUGCUGUAAGAGAAGAACGAGUGUGAGAGUGGAAAGUUCACACUGUGACGGUAUCUUACCAGAAAGGGACGGCUAACUACGUG